UACGGAGGGAGCUAGCGUUAUUCGGAAUUACUGGGCGUAAAGCGCACGUAGGCGGCUUUGUAAGUAAGAGGUGAAAGCCUGGUGCUCAACACCAGAACUGCCUUUUAGACUGCAUCGCUUGAAUCCAGGAGAGGUGAGUGGAAUUCCGAGUGUAGAGGUGAAAUUCGAUAGAUAUUCGGAAGAACACCAGUGGCGAAGGCGGCUCACUGGACUGGUAUUGACGCUGAGGUGGCGAAAGCG
rnacentral:rRNA from 1 species